UCCGAGUCAAGCUCGCCGAACCUUGCUGUUGAGAGGCGGCGUAAUCGGAGUCGUCGGACAAAUCGUGAAGCUCUGCUUCUUGCAUCGCUGGUGAAUUGGGGUGAUGUAGAGAGAGAAAGUGUGGAGAGAGAGAGAGAGAGAGAGAGAGAGAGAAGGGCUGAGAGUU